AAGACUUCAAACAACUUAAAAUCUCAAAAUCAAAAAAUUAACUCGAACUUUCUCAAAGACACAGAUUACACCCUAGUUUGAACAGAGCCCUUUCUUUAUUAGCUUAUAUAAUGGCGUAUCCUUCCACUUACGGAUCCACCAUAGCUGCUAUAGCCCGAGUUUGCUUGUCAUAAUAGAAAUAAACGAAGGAAGAAAAAAGCUCUCCACUCUUCACCUUUUUCCUCUUCGAGUCUCUCUCUUUGACUGGCCUUUGUGCAAAGAUCUUCCUUUUUUAAACAGUCGCUUUCUUUACUCUCCCUUUCCCUUCUUUCUCUUAAUUGCUAAAGCAGCUUCCACUUCCACUCGGUUUAACCCAUGAUCCAUUUCAACCUGUCACAGUGGAGAGCAAUUUGUAUGGCUAAUUUCUAACUCACCUAUUCUUUUUUGUUUGUGGUUCUCUAGUCUAGGGUUGCAUGAGAUGAGAGACAUGGCUCUUUUUCUUUUUUUUUUUUCAGUUCACAGGUGUUUAUAUAUGUUGUUGUGUUAUUUUGUUUUAAAGCUUUGUGAUUGAUGAUCUGAUAGGUAAGAGAGAGCUUUCUUCAGUCCACUCAUGGGAUGGGGAUGGGGUUUAAUUAGCUGCCGACUCAUUCAUCCAAAUACUGUGUUACAAAACCCAGUAAAUGAGUGAAUGAUGCGGGAGACAAAUUGAAUCCUAAUCUUCCUGUGCUUGGACUGAAGGGAGCUCCCUCCCUCCUUUGCUAUUAUUUUAUUUAAUCCUUUUCAUAAUUUUUUAUUUUUAUUUCCUCACAUCACGAUUUUAUCAACACCCCAAACGCUACUUUCCUCGAGGUUUUUCAUGACAGCCACUGCGAGGUAAUGUUGGAAUAAUAUGAUCAUCAUCCUUAACUUUAACUGUAACUUGUUCGUUUGUUGUUCAUGGACAUUUACAUAGAUAUUCUCAACUUCUUAAUGGCGGUGGCUUCUCAUUCUUUGACCGUACUACGAAAGUAAAGCAUUGUUUUUGCUCUUAAAGGAAAUUAUGCAGCAGUUUCCUCACUCUAGGGCUGAGGUUUCAGCUCUCGAGGACUUGGAGUCCAGAUGUUUUUAGGGUUUUACUGUGAAGCUGCUGUUGCAGACUUUCUUGUUUAAAGCUCCCACCUAAAAAGGCAACCAUAUGGGAGGCGAAGCUCUCAUAAAGGACACGCUCCACGAAAAAAGCCUUCUUGGGUCUUGCUAUCUUACUGCAACAAGUUCCUAGACAUGUCUGAUGUCUCCCCCCAGUUCAUGUGCAAUUACACAAAUAUCCUUUCAGUCGUCUUAAAGUUUUGGGUCCAAGAUUUGCAGAAAUAUGGAAAACUUGUAAUUUGUUCUAAAGCUUAGUUUGUUUUUUUUUUUUUUGUUCAAUUAGCUCCUGGGGUAGCUGGUAAAACCAGUCAGAAGGGCAUAAUCCCAGUUUUGUUUUCCUUGCUGCCCUGAGAAAAACACACAUGCAUUCAACCAGACAUGAUUGAAGCAAUAACAUCAAUGACUGCCGAGAACUCUCAACCAGCUUUUCCUUUGCUAGAGAAGCAGUUGAUGAUAAAAUAUCAGAUUCAAGGAUAACAUUAAAUAUAGGAUUGUGCUGUUUGUAGUUCUCUUGCCUAAAAUGUACUGCGGACUGAGUUGAGCAUACCCACUACGAAUUUUUGCUGUAUGUAUUGAAUCGGAUGCUGAGGUUUCUAGGGCCUAGGGCGAUUGUAACUAUGAUCUGUAUGUAAAGCAAUACUAAAUCGGCCAAGUAGCUAAAUGAAAGGCUGCUGGGAAUUAUUAGCUUUUUUGUUGUGUUAAUGGCUUGCUACAGAAUAUUAAUUUAUAAACUGAAUCCACUGCCUGUGAUGUUCCCUCGUACAGAAAAUGGAAGCUUUUGCAAAAGAAAAUAAAUGGCGAUUACCGGUUAGGUCAUCCCGAAGCUAAUGGACGUACAAAGCAGAUUUCAUCUUCAGUUAGGUCAUGUUUUAGAUGUGUUUAUUUUAUGGUUUUUGUAAGUAAUAAGUUACAAACUAGUCUGCUGAUUGUGCAGUGUUUAUAUUAACUUUCAAAUUGGCUGAGAAAA